UGGGGAAUAUUGGACAAUGGGCGAAAGCCUGAUCCAGCCAUGCCGCGUGUGUGAAGAAUGUCUUCGGAUUGUAAAGCACUUUAAGUUGGGAGGAAGGGCAUUAACCUAAUACGUUAGUGUUUUGACGUUACCGACAGAAUAAGCACCGGCUAACUCUGUGCCAGCAGCCGCGGUAAUACAGAGGGUGCAAGCGUUAAUCGGAAUUACUGGGCGUAAAGCGCGCGUAGGUGGUUUGUUAAGUUGGAUGUGAAAUCCCCGGGCUCAACCUGGGAACUGCAUUCAAAACUGACUGACUAGAGUAUGGUAGAGGGUGGUGGAAUUUCCUGUGUAGCGGUGAAAUGCGUAGAUAUAGGAAGGAACACCAGUGGCGAAGGCGACCACCUGGACUAAUACUGACACUGAGGUGCGAAAGCGUGGGGAGCAAACA
rnacentral:rRNA from 1 species